ensembl:lncRNA
AAGGUAGUGUGUUCAACAUUAUCAUGACGGCUGUAAAAACAAUUACUAUUACACAGGACUGAAGGGAAAAGAGGAGGACUUCUCUGGGACAAGUGUGGGGGAAGGAGACUGACCAACGCUUCUAUCUACCAAACCAGGAGGUUACAGGAACUCACUCGUUUCUGCCAUAGGGGCCCAACCAGCAGAGACCUGGUGUCCUAACCAAGCCUCUUGCCACCCCAGAUGCAGGCUCUGGGAGGGGGCGUCACCCUAGAGACUGGAUGUGUGACCCUAGGUGCAGGGUCUGGGGAGGUACAAGUCUGGGAGGUGGGGUCACCUCAGAGACUGUGGACAUAUGACCUCAGGUGCGGAGUCUGGGGUGGGGGUCACCCGAGAGACUGUGGCUGUGUGACCCCAGGUGCAGGGUCUGGGGGGUCACCCUGGAGACUGUGGCUGUGUGAUCCCAGGUGCAGGGUCUGGGGGGUCACCCUGGAGACUGUGGAUGUGUGACCCCAGGUGCAGGGUCUGGGAGGUGUGGUCACCCUGGAGACUGUGGCUGUGUGACCCCAGGUGCAGGGUCUGGGGGGGUCACCCUGGAGACUGUGGCUGUGUGACCCCAGGUGCAGGGUCUGGGAGG